CCUACGGGAGGCAGCAGUGGGGAAUAUUGCACAAUGGGGGGAACCCUGAUGCAGCAACGCCGCGUGGGUGAAGAAGUAUUUCGGUAUGUAAAGCCCUGUCAGCAGGGAAGAAAAUGACGGUACCUGACUAAGAAGCCCCGGCUAACUACGUGCCAGCAGCCGCGGUAAUACGUAGGGGGCAAGCGUUAUCCGGAUUUACUGGGUGUAAAGGGAGCGUAGACGGCAAGGUAAGUCAGGAGUGAAAGCCCGUGGCUCAACCACGGGACUGCUUUGGAAAUUGUGUUGCUGGAGUGGAGGAGGGGUAAGCGGAAUUCCUAGUGUAGCGGUGAAAUGCGUAGAUAUUAGGAGGAACACCGGUGGCGAAGGCGGCUUACUGGACUGUAACUGACGUUGAGGCUCGAAGGCGUGGGGAGCAAACAGGAUUAGAUACCCUUGUAGUC
rnacentral:rRNA from 1 species